UACGUAGGUGGCAAGCGUUGUCCGGAAUUAUUGGGCGUAAAGGGCUCGCAGGCGGUUUUUUAAGUCUGAUGUGAAAGCCCCCGGCUCAACCGGGGAGGGUCAUUGGAAACUGGGAAACUUGAGUGCAGAAGAGGAGAGUGGAAUUCCACGUGUAGCGGUGAAAUGCGUAGAGAUGUGGAGGAACACCAGUGGCGAAGGCGACUCUCUGGUCUGUAACUGACGCUGAGGAGCGAAAGCGUGGGGAGCGAACAGG
rnacentral:rRNA from 1 species